CUUAUAGUUUAUUGGUAGUUUGAGACAGCUCACAUACUUGGAUGUUUCUAAAAAUAAUAUUGAAAUGGUUGAAGAAGGAAUUUCAACAUGCGAAAAUCUCCAGGACUUCCUCUUAUCAAGUAAUUCCCUUCAGCAGCUGCCUGAGACUAUCGGUCUGUAUUGCUUUCAAACCAUUUUUUUUAAGUUACUAAAGACGUCUGUUUUGACUCCAGACCUCCAUAGAAACUCGGUAUUCCUGUUAACAUCUCACUGUGCUGUCGCACACAGAUGUUACUUGGCAGUUCCCUGACGUGCUCCAUUGCACACUGUACUGCUUACUGUUUUUGAUAUUUUUUCUUAUUCUAAGCAAAUUCCAUUUUUAUAACUUCAAUAAAUUGUUCACAACG
rnacentral:lncRNA from 1 species